CAGCAUCUUGAGAUGAUCAACAGUCAUCUGAAGAAUCUCGGCUUUUUCCAACUUUGCUGAACCCUGCAAGAAAUGAAGAGAAGAGUGAGAUGCCGCAGAUCAGACUACAAUCCCCAGGAUCCUUUGCUUGCAUACACAUGUGCGCCGGUAACUUCAUCAGGGAACUGGCUUACACACAACAGACAAAGCAGUCAAGCCCCCUUUCAGCACUUGACUUGUGAUGUAUUGCCUCGGGCCGCACAGCAAGCUGGGAAAUGUCCAAGACAACAGUCAUAUUUUAGGCUACAGAAAAUGAACUUCAAGGGAAAAGAAAGAUAAAGAAAUUCCAUACCAGCCACCAUACACAGUGUGGCAGCAGGGAGUAUUAUCCUUCUGAAAGAAACCACUGCCAUUAGGGAAUACCACUACCAUGAAGGGUUGCCAUGUCCGGACGAAGCGCUUAGUGCCCGAAAUCACCGGUAAUCGCCUUUCUGAACGCUAUGCACCGUCGACCUCCCGGAUUCCACGGCAUCUCUAUGUAGGAGCAGUCG